UCACCUGGGCCCACUUCUUAAAUUUGUCUAGGUCUCUCUGCAUGGCAUCCUGUAUCAAGAAAUAUUAACUGAUAGUGUUAAAGGCUACCUUUUGAGGUUAAAAAGUGACUGGUUACUACCUGUGUCAUCUUUUACAUUUUUAGCAUGACUUAUGGAAAUCUCUCAGUAUUCUUCAGCAUGUCUAAAGUGAGAUAUUAUGAGUUAAUGGUGAUUCAGAGCCACCUGUAAUACUCACGGCAGUUAGCAUUUAGAUAUAAGCUCUAUAUCACUGCAGCAUUUUCCUGUUUUGCCUCUGCCUGACAUGUGAAUAAUCAACGAUUUCUAGCUCUGGCUCCUCUGGACAACAUUACUUCCCUCUCUUGUGUCAGCAGUACCACUCAGCUUGGUGUCAUGUGGAAUCUUGCUGAGGGUGCAUUCGAACCCACCGUCCAUGUCACCAACAAAGAUGUUAAAUACUAUCAAUCCCAAUACAGAGCCCUGAAGAACACUGUUUGUCACUGUUUUCUACUUGGACAUCAAGCUGUUGUCUGCGAGUGAUCCAUCUAUCAAGUCUAUAUUCUCCAGUUUGUAGUCAAGGAUAUAAUGUGGAACUGUGUCAAAUACUUUGCAUAAGUCCAGGUAGAUGGCACCAGUUGCUCUUCCCUUAUCCAACAAUACUCUGAUCCCAUUGUAGAAGGCCAUUGAAUUUGUCAGGCAGUUUAUCCACCAGAUGAAGUCUAUAACUUCAUCCAUUACAUCAUCUAGUCCACACACCUACUUAGGGGAGGGUUGCCUAGAUGAGGUUUCUCAAGGCUGUAACCAGUCAGAUUUUGAAUAUUGCAAAAGGCAGGGACUCUAUAACCUCUCCAGACAACUUACGUGUUUGAUCUACACACAGAGAAGUUAUGGCAUUGUAAACUAAAUAUCAGUGAAUUCAACUGUCCAAGAAAUCUCAUGAACUGGUAAAUGCACAUUUAAAUGUAAUGUAUAAAACAGUAGUUUUCACUGCUGCAUCCAAGUUCUAGGAAAGGUUGCUUGAAUUUCUACCAAUUUGUUAUACUUAAAAUUUAUUGGCAAGAGGAAUGUGCCAUAUAAAGAUUUAACCAUCCUAUCAAAGAAUGAUUGUUAUAGAAUGAUUGUUAUUUCAGUGGGAGCUAUGCUAGCACUAUUUCUUAUAUAGAGUUAAAAUGAAAUACACACAAACUUUUUAGUAACUAUUUUGUUCUGGUGUUAAGCUUAUCCACUUAAACUUCAGGCAAUCUAUCAGAUCAGUGUUUAUGGCCAGUCACUGGCAUCCUGUAGAGUAGGAGUAGAGUAGGAGGUUGAGAUUUAUGUUUUCUUCCUUCAUACAUUAGGAUACAUGUGGUAAUUUUUGCACAUUUGCACAUAUUUUACUCCUUGCUCUUUCUCCACCAGUCUGUAAGGCUGUGUUAUAUCCAGAUUUAU